AAAUAUACACUGGUAAAAAUGCGAAUAAAAAAUUGGGGUAUAUUUUUUUAUGUCCCCCACUAUAGUAGUGGGGGACAUAUUGUUUUUGCCCUGUCUGUUGGUCUGUCUGGUUGCGUCAACUUUAACAUUUUGCAAUAACUUUUGCUAUAUUGAAGAUAGCAACUUCAUAUUUGGCAUGCAUGUGUAUCUCAUGGAGCUGCACAUUUUGAGUGGUGAAAGGUCAAGGUCAUCCUUCAAGGUCAGAGGUCAAAUAUAUGUGGCCCAAAUCGCUCAUUUUAUGAAUACUUUUGCAAUACUGAAGAUAGCAACUUGAUAUUUGGCAUGCAUGUGUAUCUCAUGGAGCUGCACAUUUUGAGUGGUGAAAGGUCAAGGUCAAGGUCAUCCUUCAAGGUCAGAGGUCAAAUAUAUGUGGCCCAAAUCACGUAUUUUAUAAAUACUUUUGCAAUAUUGAAGAUAGCAACUUGAUAUUUGGCAUGCAUGUGCAUCUCAUGGAGCUGCACAUUUUGAGUGGUGAAAGGUCAAGGUCAAGGUCACCCUUCACAAGGUCAAGGUCAUCCUACAAGGUCAAACAUCAUAUAGGGGGACAUUGUGUUUCACAAACACAUCUUGUUUUAUUUGGUUUAAGCGAUUAGGAAGCAUUUUUGAUGUUGUCUAUCGUAUCCCUGUAGUAAUUGUUGAACUCAUGUUCAACGUUUUAUAAAUUGAGAACUGUGAAUAUAAACAAGCGUAACCAUA